rnacentral:tRNA from 1 species
GCCGCGAAGGCUCAGUUGGUAGAGUAUCUGCCCGGUAAGCGGAGUGUCGCCGGUUCGAUUCCGACUCGCGGUG